rnacentral:rRNA from 1 species
GAUGAACGCUAGCUACAGGCUUAACACAUGCAAGUCGAGGGGCAGCAUGAACAUAGCUUGCUAUGUCUGAUGGCGACCGGCGCACGGGUGCGUAACACGUAUCCAAUCUGCCCGUCACUCGGGGAUAGCCUUCUGAAAGGAAGAUUAAUACCCGAUGGCAUGCAAUUUCCGGCAUCGGAGAUGCAUUAAAGAUUUAUCGGUGACGGAUGAGGAUGCGUACGAUUAGCUGGUUGGCGGGGUAACGGCCCACCAAGGCUACGAUCGUUAGGGGUUCUGAGAGGAAGGUCCCCCACACUGGAACUGAGACACGGUCCAG